UUGAAAGCUUCCUCAUGAAGCUAAUCCUUCGAAUGACAUUCUUCAAAAGCAUCACUUAUUUCCUGUCAGCAAUUGCCCAUUUAGAUGCCAAGUUGAGGAAACAAUUCCCGCCUUUUCUUCAGAAUUUAAAGAGCAUCAGCAUGGGACUCAUUGUCAAAUAUUGGUUAAAUUAGUGAUUAUUUGGAGUCAUAGAAAUGCAAUGAUUCAUCAAGGAAUCAACCCAGAUCUAGGAUUUCUUCAAGCGAUAGCAACCUUUUCUUUUCAUCUGGCUGGUGCUUCCUAUGUUAACUUCAAAGAGGAAAUCGCAAGGAUUCAAGACUUUGGAGUUGCUGAAUUUAUAGAAAAGGACAUCAAUUUGUUCUGCUCACCU